rnacentral:rRNA from 1 species
AGAGUUUGAUCCUGGCUCAGGAUGAACGCUGGCGGCGUGCCUAACACAUGCAAGUCGAGCGAUCUUCUUCGGAAGAGAGCGGCGGACGGGUGAGUAACGCGUGGGUAACCUGCCUCAUACACAUGGAUAACAUACCGAAAGGUAUGCUAAUACAAGAUGAUAUAAGAGAUUCGCAUGGAUUUCUUAUCAAAGCUUUUGCGGUAUGAGAUGGACCCGCGUCUGAUUAGCUAGUUGGUAAGGUAAUGGCUUACCAAGGCGACGAUCAGUAGCCGACCUGAGAGGGUGAUCGGCCACAUUGGAACUGAGACACGGUCCAAACUCCUACGGGAGGCAGCAGUGGGGAAUAUUGCACAAUGGGCGAAAGCCUGAUGCAGCAACGCCGCGUGAGCGAUGAAGGCCUUCGGGUCGUAAAGCUCUGUCCUCAAGGAAGAUAAUGACGGUACUUGAGGAGGAAGCCCCGGCUAACUACGUGCCAGCAGCCGCGGUAAUACGUAGGGGGCUAGCGUUAUCCGGAUUUACUGGGCGUAAAGGGUGCGUAGGUGGUUUCUUAAGUCAGGAGUGAAAGGCUACGGCUCAACCGUAGUAAGCUCUUGAAACUGGGAAACUUGAGUGCAGGAGAGGAAAGUGGAAUUCCUAGUGUAGCGGUGAAAUGCGUAGAUAUUAGGAGGAACACCAGUAGCGAAGGCGGCUUUCUGGACUGUAACUGACACUGAGGCACGAAAGCGUGGGGAGCAAACAGGAUUAGAUACCCUGGUAGUCCACGCCGUAAACGAUGA